rnacentral:lncRNA from 1 species
AAACACGUCCCCGAGGCAGCCGCGCUCGGAGCCCACAGGCAUCGAUCCCAUCAGCCAAACCCUUAAUAAUUGAAGCGGCUCCUCGGGCCCCGCAGCCCCAUCACCCACCUUCAUUAGCCGAAGCGUUUUACUUUAAAACUCCUGGCCAUGUUGUUCCCUCCUCGUGAUAACUCCGCAGUGGAGAUGGAUUCCGUCCAAGACACCGACGUAGCUCUGCUGAACGAUCAGCGCCGCAGUCCAGGCGUUACCUUCCGCUGUGGCAUUUCUCUCGGUGCCUAACAUUCGCUAACGUUCACUGCUGAUGCAGCCGGGGCCUCUCCAACUUAUGGCGUUUACAACAGAAACUACUACAGAAGAGCUCAAGGGAGGAGCUUGUGCCUGCAAAGCUGGACUCUUAGACACAGGGGCCAUUCUGCACGUGUGUGAUGUGUGUGUGAUGUAUGUCUGUGUGCAUGCGUGCGGUAUGCGUGUUUUUCGAUGGAGGAACGGGGGAGUAGAGAGACAAGGAGCAAGAGGGGUGAGAACCUUUGCAAGAAGGAUCUGCGAAUCAUAAAAUGCAUAGAAUGUAAGCUCCUUGUGAUUAAUGAUCUGCACUAAUUUGGAUAGCAGGCAUGGUAAAGGUCAUUGACAAUUGUUGCUGGUUUCAGCAUGAAUGCCUAAGCGGGAUGUAUUCUUGAACAAUCAAAAUUAAGUCAUUCACGGAAAAGAAGUGCCCACAAUUCAUUUCAGUACACAGUAAAAAUGCACAAAUAAAAGUAUCCCCCAAUUCAACUAAUUACAUGGAUAUAACUUGCAUAUAUAGACACAGAUAUCUGUGUAGACAGAUAUAUUAUCACAUAUGUGAGUACUCACCCACAAAGAUUAAAAUUCACAUACUUGAAAUUUUCAUAGUUUUUCUGUAGCAUUUUGGAAUGGAUUUGAGUCAAUGGUAAAAACUUGCUACAUUCAUCUACAUUCUUGGGUCCAUUUAAGACUACAGUAUUGCACUAAUAACUUCCAUGUGUUGAAAAUUAACUUAGAUCAAUGAACAGUGAGCAAAACUUCCAAACUCCUCCAUGUAAACUUGUGAUUUUCAUGACUUGCCUCCUUUCUCUGACCUGCUUAUCGCCCACACGUGGUUUCACUCAGGACUAUGCCUGUUCCACGAAGAUGCUAUGCUUUAAGAGAUUUCCUUUCUUCCACGCUUUGCUACAAGGCAUGCACACUCUGAGAACGUAAUUUGAGAGAUGGGCAAGGGUUACAUUCUGGAAAAUGGCAGCUUGAAGGCCAUCCCGGUUUUGUUACUGGUGAGAGUGCCAUUCAUGACAGGAGAAAUGUGUUUACAUUAUUUGUACACAAAGUCACUGGUAGUUGUUUGUCAAUGCACUAUCAUU